rnacentral:misc_RNA from 1 species
UCACCCCUCAAGCUCUCCCGGCUUGGUGUUAGACGGUUUAGUCUUAGUAACGAGACCCGUUUUAAAGUCAAUAACGGCGGCCUAUUUAAACCCCCGGUACACCGAGCUUCUUAACUAAGCACGUAUCGAUUAAAGGGUAGGUAGGACCCGGUCUUCUUCCUUAACCGGAAACUCUUUCCAA